rnacentral:rRNA from 1 species
CCACUUGUUGCCUCGGCGGAUCAGCCCGCUCCCGGUAAAACGGGACGGCCCGCCAGAGGACCCCUAAACUCUGUUUCUAUAUGUAACUUCUGAGUAAAACCAUAAAUAAAUCAAAACUUUCAACAACGGAUCUCUUGGUUCUGGCAUCGAUGAAGAACGCAGCAAAAUGCGAUAAGUAAUGUGAAUUGCAGAAUUCAGUGAAUCAUCGAAUCUUUGAACGCACAUUGCGCCCGCCAGUAUUCUGGCGGGCAUGCCUGUUCGAGCGUCAUUUCAACCCUCAAGCCCUCGGGUUUGGUGUUGGGGAUCGGCGAGCCCUUGCGGCAAGCCGGCCCCGAAAUCUAGUGGCGGUCUCGCUGCAGCCUCCAUUGCGUAGUAGUAAAACCCUCGCAACUGGAACGCGGCGCGGCCAAGCCGUUAAACCCCCAACUUCUGAAUGUUGACCUCGGAUCAGGUAGGAAUACCCGCUGAACUUAAGCAUA